rnacentral:tRNA from 1 species
GGAGGAGUCGCAUAGUUGGUCCAUUGCACGGGUUUGCUAAACCCGCGAGCCGAUUAGGCUCACGUGGGUUCGAAUCCCACCUCCUCCG